UACGGGGGGGGCAAGCGUUGUUCGGAAUUACUGGGCGUAAAGGGCUCGUAGGCGGCCAACUAAGUCAGACGUGAAAUCCCUCGGCUUAACCGGGGAACUGCAUCUGAUACUGGAUGGCUUGAGUUCGGGAGAGGGAUGCGGAAUUCCAGGUGUAGCGGUGAAAUGCGUAGAUAUCAGGAGGAACACCGAUGGCGAAGGCAGGUCUCUGGGCAUUAACUGACGCUGAGGAGCGAAAGCAUGGGGAGCGAACAGG
rnacentral:rRNA from 1 species